rnacentral:rRNA from 1 species
AACGAACGCUGGCGGCAGGCUUAACACAUGCAAGUCGAACGAGGUAGCAAUACCUAGUGGCGCACGGGUGAGUAACACGUGGGAAUCUACCCCUAAGUCGGGAAUAACUACGGGAAACUGUAGCUAAUACCCGAUACACUCUUCGGAGGAAAGUUUUUCGCUUAGGGAUGAGCCCGCGUCAGAUUAGCUAGUUGGCGGGGUAAUGGCCUACCAAGGCAACGAUCUGUAGCUGGUCUGAGAGGAUGAUCAGCCACACUGGGGACUGAGACACGGCCCCAGACUCCUACGGGAGGCAGCAGUGGGGAAUAUUGGACAAUGGGCGAAAGCCUGAUCCAGCCAUGCCGCGUGAGUGAAGAAGGCCUUCGGGUUGU